AGCGAACGCUGGCGGCAGGCCUAACACAUGCAAGUCGAACGAACCUUUCGGGGUUAGUGGCGGACGGGUGCGUAACACGUGGGAACGUGCCUUUAGGUUCGGAAUAACUCAGGGAAACUUGUGCUAAUACCGAAUGUGCCCUUCGGGGGAAAGAUUAAUCGCCUUUAGAUCGGCCCGCGUCUGAUUAGCUAGUUGGUUGAGGUAAUGGCUCACCAAGGCGACGAUCAGUAGCUGGUCUGAGAGGAUGAUCAGCCACAUUGGGACUGAGACACGGCCCAAACUCCUACGGGAGGCAGCAGUGGGGAAUCUUGCGCAAUGGGCGAAAGCCUGACGCAGCCAUGCCGCGUGAAUGAUGAAGGUCUUAGGAUUGUAAAAUUCUUUCACCGGGGACGAUAAUGACGGUACCGGGAGAAGAAGCCCCGGCUAACUUCGUG
rnacentral:rRNA from 1 species